CAUAGCUACAUGGUGUUAAAGGCCAGGUUGAAUGGGCCCUGGGCAGCCUGAGCUGGUGGGGGACAGCCGGCCCGCGGCAGCUGUCAGGACUGGAUGGGCUUGAAGGUCCCUUCCAACCCAAGCCAUGCAAUGAUUCUAUGCACUCGUCCAAGUCUCGUGGUCCCCUCUGGGCCAGAUCCUAUCAGAAGCAGACAGGUGUGUGCAGGCCCUCAGCUGGACGCGGGGCAGCUGCAGUAGCUUCUGCACAACCCAUGUAGAAGUAGGUGAACGCAAGUGCUGCGUGUGCUGCCUGAUCUUUCCUUAAAAAGGUCAUCAAAGCCAGGGUGCUGUUUUUAUUUUUCAGUUCAGCAGUGCAACUUUGCUAUGAUAAAUAUGUCUUGGAAACCAGGAAUGCAGACAACACUAGUUCAAAGACUUUUUUCCAGUGUUGCAUAUUUAAAGCUGCUCAUCACAGAAGAGCCUUUGCUGGACUGAGCAUAACAAGGAUUGCAUUCUUGUUCCAUGCUGAAGAUAUGAAAGCAAGGCACUGAUCUUUGCAGAUCUUGAAGAAUGUACCAGUGGUAUUUCAGUAAUCUAAUGCUCUGCAGCCUGUGAAGGCAGCACAGUAACUGAAAGGAAAUAUCUUUGUUUUUAUUCACUUGGCUUUAUUCCUAAUUCAUUCUUUGAUGCCAUCAGCUUGGGAUAAUACAUUUUCAGAUAUGCUUGAAAUUAAGGAAAUGAGUCUGAUUAUCAAAGUCCUUUAAACAUACUUUCAGGGAGAAAUGUUCAACAAUAGAGGUAUUAAAGGCCCCAUUUUCAAGCAAUUCUAAUAUAAAAUAAAAACAUUGUGCUGCUAGAUGGUGAGGUCCAUUAGCAGCGUGUGUGUGCAUUCUCCAACUUGAGAGGAUAUCUGCUCAGUUAUGAAAGCUGCUCGAUAAUUUGAAUCUUUCCUCUGUGGUGGCUGGGCAGAGGCAGACUUGUUUAACUGUUUCUUUACUUGCAGCCAAAUAAUAAAUGCAAGAAAACUUACUUCUUUAGGCAAAAGUGAUGUUUCUCAGUUCUUGUGUUUGAGAUUUGUCUGCAUUUCAUUUAUUUGUUUAUUAUGGUAUGUUGUUUAUUAUUAUUUAUUUGUUUAUUAUGGUAUGUCUGUGCUGGCUUGGGUUUUACUGGAAUACUUCUUAGAAAAGUCAGUAGCUCUACCAGUACGUACCUGAGCAGUAGGCUGGAAGCAGGCACAGCCUCCUUGCUGCUUUGCUUGGCAGUCGUGGGGCUAGCUACAGGAAUGGGAAAGCAUGAUAUUUAUUCUAUCUACUGUAAAUGUGACUGUUUAAGAUCUUGCUCCAAUAAAUGGAGCAAUGAAUUCUCUUUCUACUGAGACUGCUGGUAAAGAGGUGACUUAUUAGAUAUGCUGCUGUUGUAAUGAAAAUAUCUGGCAAAAUAAUUUAAAAUCAAGAAGAACUGAAUGUCUGGAAGAAGGAGAAAAGGGAUAGGGUGACACAAGUAAAGAAAGGCUUCAGCUGUGACAGUCUUGGGUACUGUGUACAAUCUGCUCUGUAAGCUGUUUCACAAGAUGCUCUGGCAGAGAAGUGAUAAUAAAUUGUUUAACGACUUGGACUUGCCAGUGUAGUUUAAGAAACUUUAAAAGGAGACAUUUAAAGGCUUGUGGCUGUGUAUGACUCAUCUAAAAGACUAAAACUGCAAUUGCAGAUUGCUCACCACCAUCUCACAGGGCACUCUGUACAUCUGGCUGUGCCCUCAGAAGCUUGGACACUUGGUUCAGGAGCCCCUGUUCCAUCCAGGUGCCAGUUAUGUGUGGGAGCACACAGUGCAUGGCACCAGUGCCAGUGCUCGUGCCAGCCCUGCUGACCCACUGCUGGCAGUGAGCCCCAGCCUGGAAGUAGCUGAGGUUAGGAAAAACAAAGGUAGAAAAAGUAGGAACAGACUCUCCUUGCCGAGAAAGUCAAACAAAUGGGGCUGGAUGUGUCCCCCAGGAGUCUCUGGUCAUCCAUGGGGAGGACUGGGUGGCACAGUGCUGGCAAAGGUGUGUUUCCAGCUUUGAGGGCCAGAUGUGGCCAGCUGUGUGCCUGUGCGUUACAGAGGUGGGUCUCUGAACCUACUCUGAGAUAAGGCUCAUAUUUAUACAAUCCUACCAGAAAAAGCAGGGUGGAACACACUAACAUAUUAAGGAGACCAAAUAAAUAAACAGUGGGUUUUGAUUUAUUUUCUCUGCUACUUGGAUAUCUUAGUUUUGGCACAAGAUGGAUUUUGUACACAAAUGUGAUCUCCUGUUAGGCUUUUGUGUUUGCUGAUUUAGAAAUCAUGUACAAAGGAGGAAAGCCUUGCAAAUGUUCUAAAAGCAAAAAGAUUUUUGUUCUCUGUACUGCAGAAGUAUGUACAAUCCUUGGUCCUGGCAGCUAGGUACUACGCAGCAGGUAACGCAGACCUCAGGAAUCUAUAGCUGAAGAUGAGAGAUAACAGUGGAAAAACAUAUAAAGUACAGUAGUCAGUUUGAGAAAUGGCACUCACUAAAUGCUACGUAGCUGAUUGGCAUCAUUCACAUCUGUGCCUCCCAAGGGUCACAAAUGAGUGCAAACCUGCUGUACCAGGAAAAGGCUGUGGAAGGGAGCACUCAGUGUCACAUGCAGAAACUGUUCUACUCAAAGGAAGUCAUAAAGGUGUCGGUAACACCCAGCUUUAUUGGGACCUGUACUCAGUUCAGAUCCACCAGAGAGUACAUUCAGGUGGAAUAUAUAUGGCUAUGAAAUCAAAGUAUUCCUGGGAAGCCCAUUAAGAAAGGCUGCUGGACUUGAUUUGAACAUACAGUUAGAGCUACUUUGUCCUCCAGCCCCAAGCUGCUGGUGUGUUCCCACAAUUUUUAAUUACGCUGGCUGUAAAUGGCUGUAACAUCUCCAAAAGCAGUGACAGAGCUGGAGUGUGUGCCCUGGCUCGUUUCCUUGUUAACAAAUCUCACUAAGGAGAAUCGAAUGGAGGAAAAACUGCUAUUUCUAUUUAUUUAUUAUUUCUAACCAGGUUGAAGACCUGAUGCUUUAAAAGAACUGAACAGAGGGAUUUGUGAUAAGACAUGAUUCAUUCCAUCUUGUGACCUGUCCCUUUCCUAGAAAAGGCAUAGCUAGCAAUGCUGUCGGAGUGCCAGGGCUGCCAGUCAUCUCCUGUGCUACAAACCAGAGCCGUGCCAAGAGAACUGGAAAGCAGCUGGAACAGCUUAAGGAGAUGGGUGGAGGGAACAUGCCAACCACAAAAUUAAUUUUUUGAAUUAAUAAAAGCUUGCGUGGUUUGAGGCUUGUGAAGCAAUAAACAUGUUCAAAUUUGCUGGAGACUGAAAAAGAAAAGCAAUUAGGUGCAAGGGAAAACUUUGAGGGUAGAUAAGGAUAAUAUGCUGGAAUAUGCAAUGGGUUGAAAAAUAUUGUGAGAAGUUAAUCUUUAAUGGAAAAUGACUAAAAUAAUUUUGGUGAAUGUAUAUGUGUGUAUCAAAGCAAACCUUGUUUCUCUUAUUUAACAGGGAAUGACAGAAUAAGAGUUUCUGAUUAACAGCAGUAACUUCAUAAUAUUCACGAUGAACUCUUCCACCAGGCAGAACUUAGUCCAAAAGCCAGGCAGAACAAUGCUUAUUUCAGCCCUCCUGCUUUCAUGUGCCUGUGCUGGACACUGCCACGUAGCUGUCUCUUUCCCUGUGCUCUCCACUGCAUCUCCCAUGUAAUGCACAGACUGCACAGUCUGUGAAGGAAGUGCAGUUUUUGGACUGUUUGCCAACCAACUCAAGAAGUGAUCUGAGUGUGCUGAGAUGCAGUGACAGCUGUGCAAUAGUUUUAAGGUAAGUUAUAAAGGUAAUGCAACCAACUGCACAUACAGAAAAGCCAACAAGAAGCUUAGGGCAGCACUGCGCUGCGUGCCACUCUCUGGAAGUUACUGCAGCCUCAUCCCGUGCAAUGCACUGAGUGAUGAGUUCCACCAGGCAAUGUGUUUGGGCAUUUAGUGCUAUAAAAGUGCCAAACUGCUAAAAAUUAUGGGUAAGAAAGACUGAGGAAAUGCUUCAGUGCAAUCGGAAUGGAAACUGGCAGAGUUCUUCACAAAUGUGUUAUUCUGUGACACAAUUUCAGUGUCACGAAAGGAGAUUUUUCUGGUUUUAAAAUAAAACACGCUGCUCAGAAGGGGAGGGAUAGGCAACAAUAAAGAAGUGCAUAUAGAUGAAAAUUGGGAAAGCUGACAGCAAUGGGUAAAUCAACAGUUUGGAAAGAGGGGUAAUUAAUUAGGGAAAUGUAGUGAAAAUAUACAUAGCCAAUAUGAUAGAUCUCCACCCAGUGGUGUUUCCACAAGGCAGAAAGAAAAACACAGUAGUAAUUUAGCUGUCAGACACAGACAGCAACACUCCAGUGAGGGGGAAAAAAAAAAUUAUUCAGUGAAUUUUUCUUCAUGUGGAAAAUGGACAGAAUGAUUUACCUAUAUUUAAUGGAUUUUUUUCUUCUUCUUCUACAUGUAACAAGAAUGAAUGAAAAACACUGGUUUAUAAACAUCUUUAAAAAUAGAGCUGGAAAGCCUGCACACGGAACUAGGGGAAUAAUGUUGAGUCUUUAUCCUGGAACAGUACCUGCUGUGUCCCAGGAGUCAUUAGCCUGCAUGGUGAAUCACUUCAACUCAUUGGGCCAAGAGAAAACUUCCUUUUCUACAUUAUGUUGGCACAGCUUCCUGUUGGCUCACCUUGCUGGCUGACUCAUCGUGGAGAUGUGUGAUUACUGGAACUGGUGCCUAGGAAGAACUGUGAGUGUGCAGCUGGGGCAAUGGCCACGGUGCGCUCAGCCUGUUACCCUUCCUGCACCUGCUGCAGUUCCAAGUGAUAGGACUUAACCCUGACCAAUUCCCUUAAUCUGGAGGGAAGGAGCACUAUCAGAAAGAAAACAGUA